GACAACGCUACCAUUGCUUUCGAAUGCUUCCAUAAGAUCCAGUAUAGCAAACAGGCUGCUAAUACCCACUGUGCGUUCAAGUUGGACUUGGCGAAAGCGUAUGAUAGGGUGGACUGGGGAUUCAUGGAAGAGGCCCUGUUGAAACUUGGUUUCGAUCGCAAAUGGGUGGAUUGGGUUAUGUGUUGUGUGAAAUCUGUGAGGUAUUCUGUCAAAUACAAUGGUGAACUGCUCGAAACCUUUUCCCCUUCGAGGGGACUUCGUCAGGGUGACCCUUUGAGCCCUUACCUGUUUCUCUUCGUCGCGGAAGGACUCACCUGUCUGUUGGAUAAGCAGAUCCGCCUGGGAAAUAUAACUCCUAUUAAGAUUGCCCGGGGAUGCCCUGGAAUAUCAAAA
rnacentral:rRNA from 1 species